UACGUAGGGGGCAAGCGUUGUCCGGAUUUAUUGGGCGUAAAGAGCGUGUAGGCGGCCAGGUAGGUCUGCUGUGAAAACUCGAGGCUUAACCUCGAGCUGUCGGCGGAAACCAUCUGGCUAGAGUCCGGAAGAGGAGAAUGGAACUGCGAGUGUAGAGGUGAAAUUCGUAGAUAUUCGCAAGAACACCAGUGGCGAAGGCGGCUCACUGGCCCGGUACUGACGCUGAGGUGCGAAAACGUGGGGAGCAAACAGG
rnacentral:rRNA from 1 species